GUGUGGUAAUCCGGUGCAGCGAACUCAUAUAUGUCCAUUCUCCUUCUGUUUUCAGUGAGACCAGGGACGCGACAGGAAAUGCACACAAACACAACAGCUACGGCAACAGCGUCAGCACCAGCACCAGCAACAGCAACAGCACCAGCAACAGCAUGGCGACAGAAACAGUAAUGGCUGCAGUUUCCGUGGUACUAAUACAACCGGUGCGCAUCUACAUACUUGCCGCCUAUGUGGAUAUUUGCACCACCAUGUCAAACUUUAAUCUGAGUCUAUUUUAAUCAAGAGGCCAGUUUAGAGAGCCACAAGAAACAAGACAAUUUGUAACACAUAAUAUUUAUUUACAAAGUAGAUUUACAAGAUAGAACAAUUAUAAAUAAUCUCUUUGAUAAUCUGAAAUCUGUUUUACUCAACCUGUCUUUUUGGUGUCCCUGCUUGCCACAUAGCAGGAUAGUAUCUUUCAGCCACCCGCUGAUGGAUUCUGCUUCGCCUUCUCGGUAAAGGCCUUUUGAUUUUUAUUUCUCACUGAAACAUUUUGACCUCAGACUUACUCUGAAUCUGCUGCCACAAGUAUAAUAAAUUGACCUUUCUUAUAAGGACUUCCAAA